GGUGCUAUAGCCAAGUGGUUACGGCGACAGAUUCGAAUUACUGUAAUCUCAUCUGUUCCUCUUUGAGGGCGCAGGUUCAAAUCCUGCUGGCAUCG